AUUUUAAUUGGUUCAUGAAUUUCGAUAUAACAAAGGACUAAUCCAGGUUAAAAUGUAUGUGGGAGACAGGACUAAUCCAGGUUAAAAUGUAUGUGGGAGACAGGACUAAUCCAGGUUAAAAUGUAUGUGGGAGACAGGACUAAUCCAGGUUAAAAUGUAUGUGGGAGACAGGACUAAUCCAGGUUAAAAUGUAUGUGGGAGACAGGACUAAUCCAGGUUAAAAUGUAUGUGGGAGACAGGACUAAUCCAGGUUAAAAUGUAUGUGGGAGACAGGACUAAUCCAGGUUAAAAUGUAUGUGGGAGACAGGACUAAUCCAGGUUAAAAUGUAUGUGGGAGACAGGACUAAUCCAGGUUAAAAUGUAUGUGGGAGACAGGACUAAUCCAGGUUAAAAUGUAUGUGGGAGACAGGACUAAUCCAGGUUAAAAUGUAUGUGGGAGACAGGACUAAUCCAGGUUAAAAUGUAU